GCAGUGUGUGUGCAUGCAAGUGUGUGCGCGUGCAUGUGUGGUGUGUGCAUGAAUGUGUGCGCGCGCAUGCGUCUGUGGUGUGUGAGCAUGUGUGUGCGCGCGUCAGUGUGUGUGCUUGUGCCUGUGUGCAUCUGUGUGGGGCAAAAGAGAUCCAGGGACAGGGACACACAGGUGUCCUUUCCCCAGCUGUCCAAGCCCUUUCAGUCGCGGAUAAGAAGGUCGCCGUCAGGAACAGAAGAGGAAGAGAUGGGGUAGCUGUGCCUAUGGAACCACUUAACUAGCUGGAGACCAGAAGGCUUUCGUGGGUUGGAGUCACCUGCUUCUCACUUCCGGGCUGUGAACACAAGGCCGCACCCACUUCACACGGAGCCACUUCCCAGAGUCAGGGCCAGGAGCACAGAGAAGGCCAGAGCGGCCCUCACAGCCACAGGGCUUGUCCAUGGCGUCUGGUGGGGGAAGCAGCUAUGGAAGCCCCAAAUGGCCAAAACAGGAGUCACGCCGCACAAACACAAUGACGACCAGCAGGAGCUUGCCAAGAAAGGGGCUGAUGGACUCCUGCUCCCUGCUGCUGGGGUGAAGAGCACCGGGCUCCAUGGCUGGGAGGUUGCCUUCUCGCACCGACAUACUCACUUCAUCCAUUCCCUGGAAACUGAGCCCAAAGCCCAAAUGAGUAGUACUGAGCAGUGGACGUCUGGGGGGAGCCACAGUCACCCUGCAGUGCAGUCUCAGUGCUGACACCUCUCUGUCUGUAAAAGGUGACAACAUAAACUAAUCAUGUUAGACUUACUAAAUACAAUGAGACCACUGCCCAAAGGCGAUGUGGAUGGGAAUCUAAACUGAUUCAAUCUGAGAAAAGGAACCAGCCAGAGGAGCAUGCCCCACCUCUGUGAAUACUGGAACUCUGAAACACAUUAAUGAUGACUAAGGGUGUUAAGGGUAUUACAUCACCUUCAGAAAAAUAUGUCCAAGGGGUUCUUGUUGCAGAAAGCAUAAAAUAGGCUCCAGUAAGAUCACAACGUCAGCUAGUUAAACAUCUCUCCUGUUUCUUCCUAGAAAUUAUGCAAAGAGAAGGGGCAAGGGUUGGGGUAGGAGUUAAAUGCUGCGUCCCAUAAACUUAUACAGAUUUUACCCCCAAAUUCCAG
ensembl:lncRNA